CACACAGGAGAAGAUGGGAAAAUUAAAUAAUAGGUUAUUUCCCUUCGGGUAUUUUAUGAAUAAUUGUAAUAAUUGAUUAUUAAGAAUGUAUGUUUUUCUUUGAUUUCUAUAGGUAUAGUGAAAUUAUUAAUAUGUGGUCAAUCAAAGCAACUGCUCAGAGCCAAAAUUCUAACUUUCAACUAUAUGAAAGACGCCAGUCCAGUCUAGAUCCACAAGUGCAAAUUUCUUUCUAUUUGGGCUUCUUCUGAAAAAUUCACAGAAAUAUGCUGAGAGGGAAAGAAACAACCAACCUAUGGACAAAGAAAAUAGCAUAAAUAUGUUUAUGUCUAUAGUGAUUAUAAUUAAAAAGUUAGUAUUACCCAAUUUCUUAAUGCGAAAUUGGUGCAUAAAUGCAUUUUCUGAAU
ensembl:lincRNA